CUGAUGAAGUACAAAAUGUUUUGUUAAUUUCAUUAAAAAGUUUAUAUUUUAGUUUCAGUUAUACUGUUAAUGUAGUAAAUAAUUAAUGUAUUUUUUUCUUCUCCAGAUUGUUUUGUUUCAGUUAUUAAUUAAGUUAAGCACUUUAAAAAAAAAAGUUUUUUAAGGUUUCAAAUAUAUACUGUAUUUUUGCACGUGACCCACACAUGCAUAUAACCCGCACAGCCCUAAACCCUAACCCUACCCCACACAAAUUACAAAAUAAGUAAAAACAAGUGCAACUUGCUGUAAACGUGUCACAAUUAAUUACCAGUAAAUUAAAGAUUCUUUGCCACAUUAAUACUUUUUUGUUUUCUUGAGGUUUAUACUGAGAUGUUCAUAAAACUUUCCAAUGUACAUUUCACAACCACAGUUACCACACAGCGAACUAUGAGAAGUAUGAAAGACCCACCAGUAUGUCUAUAAUUUCCAUUAUGCUAUGUUUAAGAGUAAAAUAAAUGUUGUAAAUUCCAUACUGUUGCAUACACCAUACAGCUGCCAUUCUUUGUCAAAUUUGUAUAACCCAAGGGUUAUAUGAACAAAAAUAGGGUAUGCACUAUUAAUCACAGGGAGUAUGAAAACUCUCGAUGUCAUUAUUGAAUUUAAUAAAAAUUUACUGCUAAGUUUUUUUUCCAUGCUUAUUUUUUGGUUGAUUUCUGUGCAAUAGUUUUAUGUAGAUAUAAAGAAUCUAUUUUGAGCUUAAAACACUGCUUUUAAAGAGCAAGAAAAUAGUAUUUCUAUAGUCAGGCAAUAAGUAUAAUUUAUAUCAGUUACUUAAAUAUAAAAGAAACUAGCUGUUGACAUGUACACUAGUACUCUGAAGCUUCUCUUUGUUAGAUGGUAUAGAUUUACUAGUUAUUCCAGUUGUGCUUCAAUACAAAUAAAUUUUACUGAUAGUUUGGUCACACAAUACAAGCAUGGCUCUCUGUUCGUUUUUGAUAUUUUGG